rnacentral:rRNA from 1 species
UACGGAGGGUGCAAGCGUUAUCCAGAUUUACUGGGUUUAAAGGGUGUGUAGGCGGUCUUUUAAGUCAGUGGUGAAAUCUCCGGGCUCAACCUGGAAACUGCCAUUGAUACUAUUAGUCUUGAAUUUUGUUGAGGUGGGCAGAAUAUGUCAUGUAGCGGUGAAAUGCAUAGAUAUGACAUAGAAUACCAAUUGCGAAGGCAGCUCGCUAAACAAAUAUUGACGCUGAGGCACGAAAGCGUGGGGAUCAAACAGG